AGUGAACGCUGGCGGUAGGCCUAACACAUGCAAGUCGAACGGCAGCACAGUAAGAGCUUGCUCUUACGGGUGGCGAGUGGCGGACGGGUGAGGAAUACAUCGGAAUCUACUAUUUCGUGGGGGAUAACGUAGGGAAACUUACGCUAAUACCGCAUACGACCUACGGGUGAAAGCAGGGGAUCUUCGGACCUUGCGCGAUUCAAUGAGCCGAUGCCGGAUUAGCUAGUUGGCGUGGUAAAGGCCCACCAAGGCGACGAUCCGUAGCUGGUCUGAGAGGAUGAUCAGCCACACUGGAACUGAGACACGGUCCAGACUCCUACGGGAGGCAGCAGUAGGGAAUCUUGCACAAUGGGCGAAAGCCUGAUCCAGCCACACCGCGUGGGUGAAGAAGGCCUUCGGGUUGUAAAGCCCUUUUGUUAGGAAAGAACAAAAGCAGGAUAAUCUACCGAUGUUCUGACGGUACCCAAAGAGUAAGCACCGGCUAACUUCGUG
rnacentral:rRNA from 1 species